rnacentral:rRNA from 1 species
AACGAACGCUGGCGGCAGGCCUAACACAUGCAAGUCGAACGCCGUAGCAAUACGGAGUGGCAGACGGGUGAGUAACGCGUGGGAACAUACCCUUCGGUUCGGAAUAACUCAGGGAAACUUGUGCUAAUACCGGAUACGUCCGAGGUAAAACUUGGAGAAAGAUUUAUCGCCGGAGGAUUGGCCCGCGUCUGAUUAGCUUGUUGGUGAGGUAAUGGCUCACCAAGGCGACGAUCAGAGCUGGUCUGAGAGGAUGAUCAGCCACAUUGGGACUGAGACACGGCCCAAACUCCUACGGGAGGCAGCAGUGGGGAAUAUUGGACAAUGGGCGAAAGCCUGACGCAGCGACGCCGCGUGAGGAUGACGG